CUGCCCGCACCCCAACCUGGGCCUGGAUGAAACUGCAACACAGAUUGGGAAACUGAGAUAAAGCAGGAGGAAGUAACUGGUCUAAGCAAGUAAACACAGUUCCACUGACUACAGGACACCAAGUUGGAUUUCUGCCCAAGAUGUCAACAUGCAUCGCCUGGCUCCCCACUCCCUCGCCCUGACUCCAGCUGUGUUUUCUUUGGAUUUCUGCAUGGCUUGGAGAAGCUGCGUCAGCCCAUCUCCCAUCCUGACCUUUCUCCCACCCCCAACACCCACCCUGGCCAUCCCUUAGGAAUUGACCUCCACCCUCUCCCUCUGCCUGACCCCAUGAGCAUUGCAAUGCAUGUGCCUGUAUUGGUCAGCAUGGACCAGUUCCUCUUUUCUGUCGAAGGAGACAGCCACCUGGUCCCCGAAGGCCCUUCCAGGGCCUUCCUAACGACUGCAAGAAGCACCCAACACGUUCCAGCAUCUUGAAAAUUUUUCCAUGAGGCUCUAAUACUACACAAAUGCUGACAUAAACAGACUUUGAUCUGACAAGGACUGCCAGCCCUCCAUCCAGGAAUCAUGAGGACAUCUUAGCCCUCCAGUUUCCCUCCUCUCUUCACCCACCUAGAUCCAUAAUUCAUCACCCCCUUCCCACCCCACCCUCAGUACUAAAUUCUGCUCCUCUCUGUUUUCUCCAUCUCAGAUCAUGGCACACCCUCCACCCAGAUGCUCGAUUGAGUCAAAAACAAUAGGAGUCAUGUUUAACUCCUGUUUUCUUUCUACCACAUGUCAGUAAAUAAUUGUGUCUCCACCUCCCAAAGAUGUCCCACAUCUAUACUUUCUCUUCCAUUUGCACCAACACUAGCGCAGUGGUCGGCAAACUCAUUAGUCAACAGAGCCAAAUAUCAACAGUACAACGAUUGAAAUUUCUUUUGA